rnacentral:lncRNA from 1 species
CACCGUUUCAGUGGCAUUUAAAUCCCCGGCGCUCCUCUGUCUAGGUGACGCGCAGCAGCCCCCCCAGGCAGCCCAGGCGGCCGCAGCAGCUGCAGCGGCUGCAACGACAGAUUCCGAGCGCUGGG